UACAGAGGGGGCAAGCGUUGUUUGGAAUUACUGGGCGUAAAGGGCGCGUAGGCGGCCCGCUAAGUCGAACGUGAAAUCCCCGAGCUCAACUCGGGAACUGCGUCCGAUACUGGCGGGCUUGAAUCCGGGAGAGGGAUGCGGAAUUCCAGGUGUAGCGGUGAAAUGCGUAGAUAUCUGGAGGAACACCGGUGGCGAAGGCGGCAUCCUGGACCGGCAUUGACGCUGAGGCGCGAAAGCUAGGGGAGCAAACGGG
rnacentral:rRNA from 1 species